GGGCCGUUAGCUCAGUUGGUAGAGCAGUUGACUCUUAAUCAAUCGGUCAAAGGUUCGAGCCCUUUACGGCCCA
rnacentral:tRNA from 1 species